GCACUCGUGGCUCAAUUGGUAGAGCAACUGACUCUUAAUCAGUGGGUUGAAGGUUCGAGUCCUUCCGAGUGCACCG
rnacentral:tRNA from 1 species